ACACCUCAACUCUCAUGGUUAGCCAUGAUGAGCUUGGACUUUGGGGGUUUUGCUGGCCUGUGGUCAGCUCCUCUCAAACGGAUCAGCUUACCAGUAUUUGGUGGCGUCACAGGUGUGAUAAUUAUCUACGCUUGCGGUUGUCUGCCGAGUGACCUUUGGUGACAGAGGUUCGCUGGAGCUUAUAAACGUCUCUCCUCAGCGAAGACAGCUUUUUUAAC
rnacentral:misc_RNA from 1 species